ACCAAAACAACCGGACGAACGACCGCACAGCAGAUGAAGAUUCUAUUUCAUCCAUUAUUUGAGGUGUGAAAAGAAGGACAACUUUGCCUUCCAUCUGCUCAUAUAAAUGUAGACAUUUACCUUCAGCAAUGAUGAUGGAGUUCUAUUUUCUGAUCUGAAGGCUGGAACAGAUGGGCACACUGGGUACCAAUAUGGUAGGCUUCUGGUA